rnacentral:rRNA from 1 species
GACGAACGCUGGCGGCGUGCUUAACACAUGCAAGUCGAACGGAAAGGCCCUGCUUUUGUGGGGUACUCGAGUGGCGAACGGGUGAGUAACACGUGAGUAACCUGCCUUUGACUUUGGGAUAACUUCAGGAAACUGGGGCUAAUACCGGAUAGGAACUCCUGCUGCAUGGUGGGGGUUGGAAAGUUUCGGCGGGUGGGGAUGGACUCGCGGCUUAUCAGCUUGUUGGUGGGGUAGUGGCUUACCAAGGCUUUGACGGGUAGCCGGCCUGAGAGGGUGACCGGCCACAUUGGGACUGAGAUACGGCCCAGACUCCUACGGGAGGCAGCAGUGGGGAAUAUUGCACAAUGGGCGGAAGCCUGAUGCAGCAACGCCGCGUGCGGGAUGACGGCCUUCGGGUUGUAAACCGCUUUCGCCUGUGACGAAGCGUGAGUGACGGUAAUGGGUAAAGAAGCACCGGCUAACUACGUG